rnacentral:lncRNA from 1 species
UUUUUCAUCCCAAAACAAAACUCCUAUCCAAGUAAUCAUCUCUUCCUUCCCCUAUUCGUCAUUCCUUCCCCUUCAAUAAACCAUCAGCCCAACAAAACAUCAAAUAAUUUUCCUCUUUUUAUAUUGGCAGAGUCUAAUUUCGCUCUCCUUCUAUUGUGCACUGAAAAAGGAUUAUAGGAGUUCGGUCUCAGGGAGACCCAGAGUUAUUGCAAAAAAGAAGAUGUUGUCAACCGCUAGUACCACUAUGAGUGCAGUUACUUUGCCAAUGGUGAGAGCAGGGGAUAAGAAAAGAAAUAAUGCAUCCACCCAAAACUAUGCUAAGGCCUUGAUUUUCUUGCGCCAUCACCUUGAUGAAGGUUUGAAACUAUGCUAAGGCCUUGAUUUUCUUGUGCUGGCCUCCAGCCGCUUUGCAUGCAGUCUCAAGUCAUUAACAGCAGAAGACGCUUGAUAAGUCGU